rnacentral:rRNA from 1 species
GACAGAGGCCUCGAGCGUUAGGCGGAAUCACUGGGCUUAAAGCGUGUGUAGGUGGAUGCCUAAGUACCUUGUGAAAUCCCACGGCUUAACCGUGGAAUUGCUUGGUAUACUGGGCGUCUUGAGCCACUCAGGGGCGAGCGGAACAAACGGUGGAGCGGUGAAAUGCGUAGAUAUCGUUUGGAACGCCAAUGGUGAAAACAGCUCGCUGGGGGUGUGCUGACACUGAGACACGAAAGCCAGGGGAGCAAACGGG